AAAUUGAAGAGUUUGAUCAUGGCUCAGAUUGAACGCUGGCGGCAGGCCUAACACAUGCAAGUCGAACGGUAGCACAGAGGAGCUUGCUCCUUGGGUGACGAGUGGCGGACGGGUGAGUAAUGUCUGGGAAACUGCCCGAUGGAGGGGGAUAACUACUGGAAACGGUAGCUAAUACCGCAUAACGUCGCAAGACCAAAGAGGGGGACCUUCGGGCCUCUUGCCAUCGGAUGUGCCCAGAUGGGAUUAGCUAGUAGGUGGGGUAACGGCUCACCUAGGCGACGAUCCCUAGCUGGUCUGAGAGGAUGACCAGCCACACUGGAACUGAGACACGGUCCAGACUCCUACGGGAGGCAGCAGUGGGGAAUAUUGCACAAUGGGCGCAAGCCUGAUGCAGCCAUGCCGCGUGUAUGAAGAAGGCCUUCGGGUUGUAAAGUACUUUCAGCGAGGAGGAAGGCGUUGUGGUUAAUAACCACAGC
rnacentral:rRNA from 1 species